CCUACGGGAGGCAGCAGUGGGGAAUUUUGGACAAUGGGCGCAAGCCUGAUCCAGCAAUGCCGCGUGAGUGAAGAAGGCCUUCGGGUUGUAAAGCUCUUUUGUCAGGGAAGAAACGGUGAGGGCUAAUAUCCCUUGCUAAUGACGGUACCUGAAGAAUAAGCACCGGCUAACUACGUGCCAGCAGCCGCGGUAAUACGUAGGGUGCAAGCGUUAAUCGGAAUUACUGGGCGUAAAGCGUGCGCAGGCGGUUUUGUAAGUCUGUCGUGAAAUCCCCGGGCUCAACCUGGGAAUUGCGAUGGAGACUGCAAGGCUAGAAUCUGGCAGAGGGGGGUAGAAUUCCACGUGUAGCAGUGAAAUGCGUAGAGAUGUGGAGGAACACCGAUGGCGAAGGCAGCCCCCUGGGUCAAAGAUUGACGCUCAUGCACGAACGACGGUGGGGAGGACGAACAGGAGUAGUAUACCCUACGGUAGUCCGACCGACCCGUAACCGACUAGUCUACUAGUUGUUCGGGUUUUAAGUUUAACGUUUAGGUAACGUACG
rnacentral:rRNA from 1 species